rnacentral:snoRNA from 1 species
AGCAAAUGAUGGCUUUUUCUCACGAUGGUCUGCAGAUGCCACUGUGGGCAGUGCCGAUAAACCCAAUGGCUCAGCUGAUGCCAGGAG